UACUGAGGUCCCAAGCGUUAUUCGGAUUCACUGGGCGUAAAGGGUGCGCAGGCGGCCAAGUGUGUUAGGCGUGAAAGCCCGGGGCUUAACCCCGGAAUUGCACCUAAAACUACAUGGCUAGAGCAUUGGAGAGGGUAGCGGAAUUCACGGUGUAGCAGUGAAAUGCGUAGAUAUCGUGAGGAACACCAGAGGCGAAGGCGGCUACCUGGACAAUUGCUGACGCUCAGGCACGAAAGCGUGGGGAGCAAAAGGG
rnacentral:rRNA from 1 species